ACUAAAAAUGAAUAGUUCUCUCAUAUAAUAGCAGGGAUAUGGCCUGCGAGUUUCUACCGAACCCCGUAAAGGUUCGACUAUGAGUAGCGAUAUCAUGGUG
rnacentral:ncRNA from 2 species